UUAUUUGAAAUUACUCCCACCAAAUAUUCCUAAGACUCUUAGGAAAUUAUGUCUAUUCUAAUGGAUACUUUAAUUUCAUCCCUUACAACAUCAUCCAUCCUCUAAAAGACGACAGGUUUCCAGACAAUCAUUGGGUGAGCUAGUCAGGAAACUUGGUGAAUAUGUGCUCCCCUUGAUAAUCCCAAUCUUAUCCCAGGGCCUAAGUGACCUAAUAGCAGCAGAAGAUAGGGUGUAUGUGUUGGUCUGAGUGAAGUUAUGGUAAGCACUAGCAAGAGUUAGUUGUUGAGUUUCAUGAAUGAGCUCAUCAUUCCCACUAUUCGGACUACGCUUUGUGAUAGGCUUGUGUAUUUUAAGCCUUUUUUCUAGAAAAUUUUUACAUUGUAUUUUCUGAUAAAUUAGAUCAAUGUAUUUACAAUGUGCUUGAGGUUCGUGAAUCAGCUGGCUUGCAUUCAACACUUUUUAUAAGAGUGUUGGAUUGCAAGCUAUUGAUGAAAUUGUUCCCACUCUUCUACAUGCACUGGAGGAUACUACACUUGAUGGCCUUAAAUAAAUUCUAAGGUCCUGGCCUUAACUUUCAUCUUGGUACCGUUCUUCCUUCUUUGCUAUCAGCAAUGGGUGAUGAAGACAAGGAGGUUCAACCUUCAGCUAAGGAACAGUGAUUUUGGUCAUUGAUGAUGAAGGUGUGGAGUCACUCUUAUCAGAGCUUGUGAAAGGUGUUAAUGAUCGUCAGGCUAAGGAAUGCUUAAAAUGAGAGAAAGAUAGGGUUGUUCAUUACUUGCACUACAGUAGUGAGCCAAAGCUAUUUUAAUCUUCAAACAAGAACAAUUUUCUUGUUUUUCAAAUCACAAAUUUUGACUUUUCCUUUUACUGUAUCUUUGAUGAUGUGUAUGUGUAUUUUUCAAAUAAUAAAUUUUAUUUUUUUGUUGACAAAUAUGAUGAAAGUUUAUGUAUGCUGGAUUAGUUAA